UACGUAGGGUGCAAGCGUUAAUCGGAAUUACUGGGCGUAAAGCGUGCGCAGGCGGUUUUUGUAAGUCAGAUGUGAAAUCCCCCGGGCUUAACCUGGGAACUGCGUUUGAAACUACAAGGCUAGAGUGUGGCAGAGGGGGGUGGAAUUCCACGUGUAGCAGUGAAAUGCGUAGAGAUGUGGAGGAACACCGAUGGCGAAGGCAGCCCCCCUGGGUUAACACUGACGCUCAGGCACGAAAGCGUGGGGAGCAAACAGG
rnacentral:rRNA from 1 species